AGUUGAAUUUUGUCUGUGGCCAAAUAGCCCAUUUAAAUCAGAACAUCCGCCGUGAAAUUUCGCAAAUUCGGCGAACCCGAAACUGGUGGGGAGUUUCUCACUGCCAAAUGUCAAUGGCGAAUCAAAAUGGUAAUACCUGCUCGUACCUUCAUCAUCUCACUCACCCCUUCUUCUCUUUUAAGAGUCGGCCUCCUUCCUCUUCUCUUUCAACCCCACGGUUCCAAAACCCUACUCCGUCCUUUGCCAGCAAAACAAAUGGACGAUUUGUGGUUUAGAUUUUACCUGGCUGUGUUAAUCUCGUCUGUGAUUGCGGCCAGAGCAUUCCGCAGGAAGUCUGUCGACCUGUCCGGCGUGGCGGCGGGGAUACCGGUCAUGGUCAUCCAUACGGUAGCGGGAUAUAGAUUUGCGGUGCUGCUUCUGGUUUUCUUUUUCUCGUCAUCGAAGCUUACGCGGGUUGGAGAGGAGAAGAAGAGGGCAGUGGAUGCUGAGUUUAAGGAAGGAGGUCAGCGGAAUUGGAGACAGGUUCUAGCUAACAGUGGAAUCGCAUCCAUCUUGUUAAUUAUAUUGGCUACAUUGGCUAACGGACAAGAUCGAUGCUUGGAUACUAAUGAGUCGAAGAUUAUAACUAGUCUUAUGGGUGGUAUAAUUGGCCACUAUGCCUGCUGCAAUGGAGAUACAUGGUCUUCAGAACUUGGAAUACUAAGCGUUACACAACCUCGGUUAAUCACAACUUUCAAGACUGUACCCAAGGGUACAAACGGUGGGAUCACUCUAGAUGGACUUCUGGCAGCUACAGUUGCUGGCAUCGUCAUUGGUGUUCCUUAUAUUCUUGUUGGACUGAUCACGGCUGAAUGUUCUGCAAAUGUAGCUUGGAGGCAGCUUCUAGUAGUACCAGUUGCUGCAUUUGCUGGGCUUUUUGGAAGCCUGGUAGAUUCAUUCAUAGGUGCAACGCUACAAUUUAGUGGAUAUUGUAGCGUGCGAAAGAAGGUGGUUGCCAAGCCUGGACCAACUGUGGUGAAGAUCUCAGGAAGGAACAUUCUGGACAACAAUUCAGUUAAUAUGGUCUCUGUGCUUUUGACAUCACUGCUUACUUCCAUAGCAUGUAUUUACAUCUUCUAGGUGCUUAAUUAGCGUCACAACUCAACCCGGAGGCUCGGAUCAUUGAGGUGGGAACAAACAAUCGGACGUAAGGGGUGUAAACGAGUCGAGUCAAGCUCAAAAUUCGAGCUCGUGCUCGAAUCGUCUCAUGUUGAGCAGCUCGUUCAGCUCAGUCCCGAGUUGGCUUGUCGUUGCGUUCUCUAUCGUCCCGAGGUUCAUCAACAUCGCGUUCGUUGUGGAGCUUUGUCAUCUUGAGCUACGUCGUCGAGAUCCGUUGUCACGAGCUUGUUGUCGCGUUCGUCGUCAAGAUCAGUCAUCAUCACAUCCGCUGUCGAGAUCCGUCGUCAUGAGCUCGCUUGUCGUUUUGGUUUUCUCGCCUGACCUUUGAUUCGUCCUCCUACCCGCAACAACAGAUAUUUCAUUUUUCCGCCCAGUCACCUUCGCGAGCUGCUUGUCCAGCCGAUGAGUCGAGUCCGAGGCCUGUUUGAGCUCGAUCUCAAUAAGCCAUCGAGCUCGAAAUUGUGUUCGAGCUCGAUAAGCUCGUCUCGCUGAGCCUAUUAUCGAGUCAAGUCUGAGUUGGCUUGCAAGUCGGCUUGACUCAGUUGCACUCCUAAUUGUGGCAAAAUGUAAGCAUACUUCAUUUCUAAUAAUAUGAAAAAUUAUUUGCAACA